UCCCGAUUAGCUCAGUCGGUAGAGCGUCAGACUUUUAACACGAGGUCUCCAAGGAUUUGCUUGGAUGGUUACAGUGAUCUGAAUGUCAGGGGUUCGAGCCCCCUAUUGGGAG
rnacentral:tRNA from 1 species